rnacentral:rRNA from 1 species
AAAGGGAGCAAUCCUGAGUACAGUGGCGCACGGGUGAGUAACACGUGGAUCAUCUACCUUUUAGUGGGGAAUACCUCUGGGAAACCGGAGACAAUACCGCAUAAGCUCGUAAGAGGAAAGCCGAAAGGCGCUGAAAGAGGAGUCCGCGGCUGAUUAGCUAGAUGGCGGGGUAAUGGCCCACCAUGGCGAAGAUCGGUAGCCGGCCUGAGAGGGCACACGGCCACACUGGCACUGAAAUACGGGCCAGACUCCUACGGGAGGCAGCAGUGGGGAAUCUUGCACAAUGGAGGAAACUCUGAUGCAGCGACGCCGCGUGAGCGAUGAAGCCCUUCGGGGUGUAAAGCUCUUUCGACGGGAACGAUAAUGACGGUACCCGGAGAAGAAGCUGCGGCUAACUACGUGCCAGCAGCCGCGGUAAUACGUAGGCAGCGAGCGUUGUUCGGAAUUAUUGGGCGUAAAGAGUGUGUAGGCGGUGCUCUAAGUCUGUCGUGAAAUCUCCCGGCUUAACUGGGAGGGUGCGGCGGAAACUAGAAUGCUAGAGGGUGGGAGAGGUAAGCGGAAUUCCUGGUGUAGCGGUGAAAUGCGUAGAUAUCAGGAGGAACACCUGUGGUGUAGACAGCUUACUGGACCACUUCUGACGCUGAGACACGAAAGCGUGGGUAGCAAACAGGAUUAGAUACCCUGGUAGUCCACGCCCUAAACGAUGCAUACUUGGUGUGAGCGAUUCAUUUCGUUCGUGCCGGAGCUAACGCGUUAAGUAUGCCGCCUGGGGAGUACGGUCGCAAGGCUGAAACUC